AGCGAACGCUUGCGGCGAGCCUAACACAUGCAAGUCGAGCGCCUGUAGCAAUACAGGAGCGGCGGACGGGUGAGUAACACGUAGGUCAUCUGCCUCUCGGUGGGGGAUAACCAGGGGAAACUCUGGCUAAUACCGCAUGAGGCCCACGGAUCAAAGCAGCAAUGCGCCGGGAGAUGAGCCUGCGUCCGAUUAUUUAAUCCUAGUUGGCGGGGUAAUGGCCCACCAAGGGUACGAUCGGUGGCUGGUCUGAGAGGACGAUCAGCCACACUGGAACUGAGACACGGUCCAGACUCCUACGGGAGGCAGCAGUGGGGAGUAUUGCGCAAUGGGGGAAACCCUGACGCAGCUACGCCGCGUGGGUGAUGAAGGCCUUCGGGUUGUAAAGCCCUGUCCGUGGGGACGAAUACUGACGGUACCCACGAAGAAAGCACCGGCUAACCCUGUGCCAGCCGCCGCGGUAAGAC
rnacentral:rRNA from 1 species